CGCAGUAAUUUGACUGUGCGAAGGUAGCAUAAUCAUUAGUCUUUUAAUUGGAGGCUUGUAUGAAUGGCUGGAUGAAGGAUAAGCUGUCUUUUAUAUAUAAGUUGAAUUUAACUUUUAAGUGAAAAGGCUUAGAUAAAUUAGGGGGACGAUAAGACCCUAUAAAACUUUAUAUUAUUAAGCUUAAGUUGUAAAUAAUGUAAAAAAUAGUUUUUGUUUAAUAGUAUUUUAUUGGGGCGAUAAAAAUAUAAUUGUAACUGUUUUAUGAAAGAUAUACUAAUAAGUAUAAAUUGAUCCUUAAUUAAAGAUUAAAAGAUUAAGUUACUUUAGGGAUAACAGCGUAAUUUUCUUUGAGAGUUCUUAUCGAUAAGAGUAGUUGCGACCUCGAUGUUGAAUUAA
rnacentral:rRNA from 1 species